UACAGAGGUUGCAAGCGUUAAUCGGAUUUACUGGGCGUAAAGCGUGUGUAGGUGGUUCGACAAGUCGGUUGUGAAAUCCCCGGGCUCAACCUGGGAAUUGCUUCCGAGACUGUCAGACUAGAGAUCGGUAGAGGGCGGUGGAAUUCCCGGUGUAGCAGUGAAAUGCGUAGAGAUCGGGAGGAACAUCUGUGGCGAAGGCGACUACCUGGGCCGAUACUGACGCUGAGGAGCGAAAGCGUGGGGAGCAAACAGG
rnacentral:rRNA from 1 species